rnacentral:tRNA from 4 species
CGGAGUGUAGCGCAGCCCGGUAGCGCACUUGCAUGGGGUGCAAGGGGUCCAGAGUUCAAAUCUCUGCACUCCGACCA